ACACGAGUGAACAUGUAGCAGAAGAGGGGGUCCUCUCAGUGAUUAAGUCACAGAAGCUGCAAUGAAUUCUGUCAUGGCCCUGAAGUAUGCUUUGUUCCCAUGGAAAAGAACCUAACUGAAGACUGAUAGCGUGGACAUGUUUCUGGCAUCAGGGAUGAGGCCUCCACUGGAGAAUUGCUGUCCUGAAAUAGGAUGCACAUCUCAGACAUGGUGCUGCUUUUAUUUUUCUAGCUGAAUUGAUUCUUCAGAUGGGAUUUAACACCCAAUCAGCAACUAAACU
rnacentral:lncRNA from 1 species